UGCAGUCGAACGGUAGCAGGAAGUGCUUGCACUUCGCUGACGAGUGGCGGACGGGUGAGUAAUGCUUGGGAACUUGCCUUUAGGCGGGGGAUAACAGUUGGAAACGACUGCUAAUACCGCAUAAUGUCUACGGACCAAAGGGGGCUUCGGCUCCCGCCUUGAGAGAGGCCCAAGUGAGAUUAGCUAGUUGGUGGGGUAAAGGCCUACCAAGGCAACGAUCUCUAGCUGUUCUGAGAGGAAGAUCAGCCACACUGGGACUGAGACACGGCCCAGACUCCUACGGGAGGCAGCAGUGGGGAAUAUUGCACAAUGGGGGAAACCCUGAUGCAGCCAUGCCGCGUGUGUGAAGAAGGCCUUCGGGUUGUAAAGCACUUUCAGUUGUGAGGAAAGGUUGGUAGUUAAUACCUGCCAGCUGUGACGUUAACAACAGAAGAAGCACCGGCUAACUCCGUGCCAGCAGCCGCGGUAAUACGGAGGGUGCGAGCGUUAAUCGGAAUUACUGGGCGUAAAGCGCACGCAGGCGGCUUGUUAAGCUAGAGGUGAAAGCCCCGCGCUCAACGUGGGAACUGCCUUUAGAACUGGCAGGCUAGAGUCUUGGAGAGGGGAGUGGAAUUCCAGGUGUAGCGGUGAAAUGCGUAGAUAUCUGGAGGAACAUCAGUGGCGAAGGCGGCUCCCUGGCCAAAGACUGACGCUCAUGUGCGAAAGUGUGGGUAGCGAACAGGAUUAGAUACCCUGGUAGUCCACACCGUAAACGCUGUCUACUAGCUGUUUGUGUAUUUAAUACGUGAGUA
rnacentral:rRNA from 1 species